rnacentral:rRNA from 1 species
UACAGAGGGGGCAAGCGUUGUUCGGAAUUACUGGGCGUAAAGGGCGCGUAGGCGGCCCGCUAAGUCGAACGUGAAAUCCCCGAGCUCAACUCGGGAACUGCGUCCGAUACUGGCGGGCUUGAAUCCGGGAGAGGGAUGCGGAAUUCCAGGUGUAGCGGUGAAAUGCGUAGAUAUCUGGAGGAACACCGGUGGCGAAGGCGGCAUCCUGGACCGGCAUUGACGCUGAUGAGCGAAAGCUAGGGGAGCAAACGGG